UUGUAAGAAAUUCCAUAAUAAACCUAGAGAAAGCCACUUCGUCACCAUUUCAUUUCUUUUAAUUUUAUUUGGAAGACAGAAUAAAGCUUCUCAGGUCCCUUUUAUUUGGAAAUCAGACUGUUAUAUGGCUCUGUCCUGUGAUCUCAGCACGGUGAAUUCCACGGUUUGUGCUGCUUGAAUGAAAGUAUUUUCUCCUUUCUUUUCCCUUUUUUUUUGUAACGCUGGGAUGUGGUUGGCCUUUCAGCCUAGGAAGCACGAGGGCACCCGAUGCCCAUUUUCUUACGGUACGAGUUCAGGGCUUAGUUUACAAUAGGACUGAAUGUUGUGUCAAGACCUGACGAUGGCUUUCCUGAUCCCAUCAGCUCGAUACUGGCAGUCGGGUAUCAGACUCAUCAAAGCAGUGUUCACGCACUAACUCCUAACGUCCUCCCGGAUGUAGAUCAGCAUUUGAAUUCACCUGUUCAUCCCUAUGAAAGCAUUCAGGUCUAACCAUCCAGUUUUGAGUGUCACGGGUGGCACAUAACAUUGUUUUACAUUUGUUGGCUUGGAAACCUGAGGCAGGGUCUCCUUGUGCACCCCAGGCUGGUCUUAAAUUUGAGAUCCUCCUGGCCCAACCUCACCAACUGCAGAGAUCACCACUUGUUUUUUUGUUUUGUUUUUAAGUAAAGCACUAGUCAUGUGGUAGUGUUUAGAGGACCAUAACGUGACUUUUGUGACCUUUGCUAUGUUAUCAGUGAUGAAAUUGCCAGAUGGUUUGAAGCCUACGUGAAUCCACGAGGUAUGUUUUGGAUCGAUGAGGGUCACUGACGGUAAUAAACCACCUCAGUAUGUAACUGAUUCCAUCCACAGAUACAGCGCUUGCCAAAGUGAGCGACUACUUUGACAUUAACCGUGCCUCUUCGAUGGCAUGGGGAAUGACAGGGAGGAAGGGGGCAUUGUGUCCUUGUUAGGUGCAUAUGGUAAUGAAGCAGACUAUACUAUACUAUACUGUGUACCUUCUCUUUGCCUCUUACUUGAAAGCAGAAUCGCAAAAUAUCCCGAACGACUUUUCUUGGUUGCAUGUGAGCUCACAGGGCACAAGAAGCCUUAUUAGAGGCACAGCUCGGCCCUAUGGAUGCUGUCCCAAACAAGACAUGGCUUAUACUACCCUGUGUAAAAGUAUUCAUGGUUGAGGAUUUCUUUUUUCUUUCCCAUACAUCUUUUUAAAACUUUCCAGGAACUAAGCACAUUAUCUGAUACUGUUGUAAUUUUUUUUUUUUUUUGAGUCAGUGCUUUGGUUCGAGAGUAGCAGAGUAGCAGUAAAUUAUUUCUACAGGGCGUCUAAGAGUGGGAGGUAUGGUUUCAUUUCACCAAACAAAUCGCUAUUCAAUAAGGCUUUUUGCUUUUGUACAUAUUUUGCAAAAGUUUGUCUCUUUACUAUUAAUAUUUGCUUUGUAAAAAUUACUGACAUUUAAUAAACAUUUACAAAUGA
rnacentral:lncRNA from 1 species